rnacentral:rRNA from 1 species
AGUGAACGCUGGCGGUAGGCCUAACACAUGCAAGUCGAACGGCAGCACAGUAAGAUCUUGCUCUUACGGGUGGCGAGUGGCGGACGGGUGAGGAAUACAUCGGAAUCUACUUUUUCGUGGGGGAUUACGUAGGGCAACUUACGCUACUACCUCAUACGACCUACGGGUGAAAGCAGGGGAUCUUCGGACCUUGCGCGAUUGAAUGAGCCGAUGUCGGAUUAGCUAGUUGGCGGGGUAAAGGCCCACCAAGGCGACGAUCCGUAGCUGGUCUGAGAGGAUGAUCAGCCACACUGGAACUGAGACACGGUCCAGACUCCUACGGGAGGCAGCAGUGGGGAAUAUUGGACAAUGGGCGAAAGCCUGAUCCAGCCAUACCGCGUGGGUGAAGAAGGCCUUCGGGUUGUAAAGCCCUUUUGUUGGGAAAGAAAAGCAGCAGGUUAAUACCCCGCUGUUCUGACGGUACCCAAAGAAUAAGCACCGGCUAACUUCGUG